GGACUACACGGGUAUCUAAUCCCGUUCGCUCCCCUGGCUUUCGCGUCUCAGCGUCAGAUGGCGUCCAGGACCUCGCUUUCGCCACGGGCGUUCCUUCCGAUCUCAACGCAUUUCACCGCUCCACCGGAAGUUCCAGGUCCCCCUACGCCCCUCCAGGCCGGCCGUUUCGGCACCCCUUCCCCGGUUGAGCCGGGGGCUUUCAGUCGCCGACGUACCCGCCCGCCUACACGCGCUUUAAGCCCAGUGAUUCCGAAUAACGUUCGCACGGUUCGUCUUACCGCGGCGGCUGGCAC
rnacentral:rRNA from 3 species